rnacentral:rRNA from 1 species
CCUACGGGCGGCUGCAGUGGGGAAUAUUGCACAAUGGGCGCAAGCCUGAUGCAGCCAUGCCGCGUGUGUGAAGAAGGCCUUCGGGUUGUAAAGCACUUUCAGCGGGGAGGAAGGCGGUGAGGUUAAUAACCUCAUCGAUCGACGUUACCCGCAGAAGAAGCACCGGCUAACUCCGUGCCAGCAGCCGCGGUAAUACGGAGGGUGCAAGCGUUAAUCGGAAUUACUGGGCGUAAAGCGCACGCAGGCGGUCUGUCAAGUCGGAUGUGAAAUCCCCGGGCUCAACCUGGGAACUGCAUUCGAAACUGGCAGGCUAGAGUCUUGUAGAGGGGGGUAGAAUUCCAGGUGUAGCGGUGAAAUGCGUAGAGAUCUGGAGGAAUACCGGUGGCGAAGGCGGCCCCCUGGACAAAGACUGACGCUCAGGUGCGAAAGCGUGGGGAGCAAACAGGAUUAGAUACCCCGGUAGUC